UGAGUAACCUGCCCUGGACUUUGGGAUAACCCUCGGAAACGGGGGCUAAUACCGGAUAUGACAUGCUCUCGCAUGGGGGUGUGUGGAAAGUUUUUCGGUCUGGGAUGGGCUCGCGGCCUAUCAGCUUGUUGGUGGGGUAAUGGCCCACCAAGGCGACGACGGGUAGCCGGCCUGAGAGGGCGACCGGCCACACUGGGACUGAGACACGGCCCAGACUCCGUACGGGAGGCA
rnacentral:rRNA from 1 species